rnacentral:lncRNA from 1 species
CGCACAUCAGCCUUAGACUCUGAGCCCAAGCAAGGUGAUUACAAUUAUGAUGAUCUAUUAUUCCACUGUGAAGUUAGGUAGGGGGUCUAUUGAGAAGUUCAGGAAGAUCUUGGUCAGGGAAAUCAUCUUCUCCAACUAACUUGCCAAGCCUGAUUCCUGAUUUUACCUUUCACUAUAUAACAUACCUACCCACUCUUUAUACCCAAGUGUCUUACCCAGGGGUGAAGAACUGAAACAUCUUCCUGAACCAGCCUCUGUCACCACUGUCCUCCUGGCAGCAUCCUGAAUUGCGAAGAGCCACCCCGCCCCCCAGACAUUCAGUGACCUAGACUCAGACCUCUGGGGAAGGACACAGUCUCCAGGCUCAGCCAGUAGGCAGGGGACUGUGACAGAAAGGGACAUGUGGCCAAGUCCCUCUGGUGAGAUACAAACCUGGACUUUGGCCAAACCUGGAUGUAAAUCUUCUCCCGGACUUCUCCCAGGUUUUCAACCUAGAAGCAUCUUUCUCCUGGACCUGGAAGCGAUCCCUUUGAAACACAGUCAUAAAGACAGGGCCUCUGUCUCCUGGGUCCUGUGGGAAGAGUCCUCAGGUGACCUUGGGAGUUCAUGCUUCCUCUCUAAGCCUUCGACCCCAAGCUGAAACAGUGGAGCUGCUGGAGAUGGUACUGGGUGCCCCUGCUAGCUGAGACAUUGCAGGACUUUUGGGACACGAGGUUCUGCCACUCUGAUCAGUCGUCAUCACCGUGUGUGCACAAGAGAACCCUGCAGAGCUUCCCAUGCUACAGCCAUUCAAACCUCUAAUCCUUGGAAUCCUGGUGUGGGAAAACUCAAGUGAAAAUGCCCAGGAAAUUCUGAUUGCUGCAGAGACAUUGAGGGAAUCAGCGAAUCUGGCAAUGAGGUUCUUACUGCAACCCCUAGAGGCAGCUGUCUUAAUGAAGAUGUGGGAACAGGGAGGCCUAUUGCAGAGAAAAAAGGCUGGAGUGCAGUGGUGCCAUCUCAGCUUACUGCAACCUCUGACUCCCUGGUUCAAACGAUUCUCCUGCCUCAGCCUCCCGAGUAGCUGGGAUUACAGAGCUUGAGGCACCAUGACACAGAAACCAAGGACACAUGACUUCAGAUACUUAAGAAAACUCAUGUCAUCAAAUCACAUCAAGAACAUUGGAUGGCACAUCAAGACCUUCGUAAUAAGUCUUCGUCUCCAGCAGCUGCAGCUCCUGGCAGGCCGAUCUUUGCUGUGACUCCGUGGGUGCUUCUGUCUCCCCAGAUUCCCAGUGGCAGUUUUUCCUUCAACUCCAGUUUUCUGAUGUUCCAAGAACAGUCACUGAUUUUUGGCUAGUCCAGCCUUUCCUUCCGAAGACGGAAAUGACUGCUUUCAAGUUCUCUGCAUGUCAGAGCUUAAACUAGAGGUCCCACAGCAGCAGAGCCUUUCAACAAGGAGUUACGCAUGCAGGACCUGUGAGCCUCCUCCAUUCCGGCUUCAGAAUGGACACGGCCCCAUCACCCAUCUCUUCUGCCUCCCUGGCCCUUUGUGCCCCACAGAAUAGGACAGAUUCCUUAGCAGGACAUUCAAAGCCCUUCACUGAGUGUCCUCCACCUGCCCCUUCUGUCCUAACUCCCAGCCAGCACUCUGAGAUUGCUUCAAGUGACCUGGCGUUGGGAGCAGCAGCGUGGUGUGGUUACAACUGCAGGUUCCUGAGCAAGACUGCAGCAUAGUUGUCAAGAUUCAAGCUUUUCUUUCCCUUCUGUUUCUCCUUUCCUCCUUUAUAGAAUGGGGAUGAUAACAUCCCCUUGAUCCUAGACAGGUGCCACCUAUUCUUACUAUUAACCUUGAAAGCACAACACUGAAUGCACUUUGCUUCUCCUAUUUCCCUGUCCCUAGUUAAUGGGUGCUUGGAUAGCGAGAGCACCCUAGCACUUUGCGUGCGUGUGCAUCACAGAACUUACCAGAGUCCCAUGCCAAUAAGAUUGCCACAAAAAUUAGAGGCAGGCUGCAUGCAGUGUCUCACACCCACAAUCCCAGCACUUUGGGAGGCCAAGGCAGGUAGAUCCCUUCAGCCUCCUCUCAUCAACAGCUCUUGUUAUAGUUGCUAUUUUUCUUUUAAUGAUGUAAAUCUUUGAUUUCCUUAUUUUUCCUCAACAUGGAUCGGUGAGCUCCAUGAUGGCCUGGCUUACUCAAUAAUAAGAUCUAAUAAAUUGGCUAAUCGAGUCCAACAGAUAAUUGAUGGGCAUGAACAGUGUUUGCAAUCUUAUUCUACACGAUCUGGUGAUGGAUAUUGACUGAAGCCUUGUAAUUGGUUAGGUUCCUACUCUUUCAUAAAAGAUAUUUAAAAAGUAAACAAACAAGAGGUUUCUCUCAUAGAGUUUAUGAUAUAAUUGAAAGAUGUAUAUAAAAAUUCAAGACAAAUUAGAGAGAAGACUGUUCCAAAUGUGUUGGGGAAAGUUUGAUAAGUGCUCUAAUAAUAUUAAACAUUACAAAGAAAGGAAAAAUGAACAUAUACAUGUGUCUUAUAUAUACAUAUAUGUAUGUGUAUAUGCAUGUAUGUGUGUUUAUGUGUGUACAUAUACACAUAGAUAAUCAUAUGUCUAUGGUCAUAGAUCUAUAACUUGUUAAAUUCUGCUGUUCUGAAAUGAUGUACCUGAACUAGAAAGGUAAUGACCUCGUUGGGAACAUAAAAGUCAUCUGGCAUGUACUCACCAUGAUUCCACUUGUAAUCAUUAAUUUGUAAUCUG